UACGAAGGGGGCGAGCGUUGUUCGGAUUUACUGGGCGUAAAGGGCGCGCAGGCGGUCAUUUUUGUCGAGUGUGAAAUCCCUGGGCUCAACCCAGGAACUGCGUCCGAUACUGGAAGGCUUGAAUUCGGGAGAGGGAUGCAGAAUUCCAGGUGUAGCGGUGAAAUGCGUAGAUAUCUGGAGGAAUACCGGUGGCGAAGGCGGCAUCCUGGACCGACAUUGACGCUGAGGAGCGAAAGCCAGGGGAGCAAACGGG
rnacentral:rRNA from 1 species